UCCAGUUCCGCACUCUUCUGCUUCUGCUUCUUCUUCUUCAACUUACUCGCAUUCGCAUAUAUCAGAAAAAACCAAAUUAUUAUUUAUUAAAAAGAAAAAAGAAGAAAAAUUUCGUUGGGUCCGUUCUAGUUUCAUUCCUGGACGUCACAGAGUCUCCCUUUCUCUCUAGUCUCUGCUACUGAUACAUAGCUGAUUAAAUGGAUGAGCAAGUGGGAAAAGCAAAGCCGGCAAUUUCUUUUGAGUAUGAGCUCUUUGAGGGGGACCCUGAUCACCUAAGAACUGUUGUAGCUACACUCACGCCUACACUCACUCCAACUAGUCCGUGGAUCAAUCCUGCCUCACUCAACUUUAAGUACCGAAUUGGGCGAGGUCCCUUUGGUGACGUUUGGCUAGCAACUCAUCAUCAGUCUGCAGAUGAUUA